CUAGGCGUUUUGUCGAUUCCCAGCAUGCAUCAGUCAAUUUCAACAUGGCGGACACGAUUGAAAAUGAAUCAGCUGAGACUUUGCUCUCCAUUAAGAAUGGAGGUUAUCCCACGGUGGAUCAAAUUAAAACAGAGGUUGCCGACGAUUUAAUGGAUAUUGAAGAACAUCAAAUAUCGACAAAUUCCUUAGAUUCAAGUAUGGAAACAGAUGACAACGAACCAAUGGCAGAAUUUGGUCCAGCUGCAUUGGGAUUACAACGUGUUGGUUCACUGCCUCCACGUAAACCAAAACCACCAACACAGCCAAUUCAAGUUUUAAAUCGACGUGGAAUGCCUGCGAGAAUAAGAAAAAAGAAUAAACUCUUCUACGAUGAUAUUUUAGUAAAUCAUCCCCAUCAUAGAAUAAAGAAAGAACCGGGAAUUAUAGACGUGAAACCAUCGCCGAAGAAAUUACCACGUCCCUCGCCAGCUAAGAAACAAUUACGAUUAAGUGACACAAAAAAAAUUGUCACAGUAGUAAAAGAACCGACUUAUCAAACACCGUUGAAAGUCGAGAAGGAUGUCGAUAAAUCAAUGCAACCAUCAUCACCAGAUAGACGAAUUGGACAAAAAAUAGGAAUGAGACUGAGAAAUUUAUUGAAAUUACCAAAGGCACAUAAAUGGGUUUGUUACGAGUGGUUCUACAGCAAUAUUGAUAAAACACUCUUUGAUGGCGAUAAUGAUUUUAUGAUUUGUUUAAAAGAAUCAUUUCCACAAUUAAAAACACGUAAAUUAACACGAGUCGAGUGGUGUAAAAUUCGACGAAUGAUGGGAAAACCAAGACGUUGCUCGCAAUCAUUUUUCGAGGAAGAGAGACGUGAACUUGAGAGAAAACGACAAAAAAUUCGCAUGCUUCAACAGAGAAAAUGUACGGAUAUUCAUGUUUUCAAAGAUUUACCACCUGAAGUUCCAAUGCAACUUGUUAUUGGAACAAAAGUAACAGCUCGACUACGUAAACCUCAAGAUGGAUUAUUUACUGGCAGUAUUGAUGCGGUGGAUACAAGUAAUAAUACUUACAGAAUUACGUUCGAACGUGCCGGACUUGGUACGCACAGUGUACCCGAUUAUGAAGUUUUGGCUAACGAAGAGCCGGAAACAAUAAGUGUGGCAUCAUUUACACACAAAUUUAGACCCAGACAUGUUCAAUAUGUGCCUUCGCCUGCUUACAUGUCGAAAUUAAAUUCGCCACGAUUAAAUCACGAUCCUCUGAUAUCAAAUGCUUUGAUACCGAAAAAAUCGCACAUGGGUGGCACAAUGAAUGGAUAUCCCGUGAAAUUACUCGAAAGCAUGGUGAGAGUUAAUAAAAUACUCGUCGACAAGAAGGUGAAGGUGCAAAAGCUAAAGGAAAUGAAUACAGACGUUGAAAUGAGAAGAUCACUCGGCGAACCUUUGCCUGCUGAUUUUGAAAGAAAAUAUGCCGGAAUUGUCGUGGAGCUAGAAAGAAUGAAUUUGGCGCUUCAAGAGUUUUUGAAUGAAGUUCAGGAAAUGUGUGUGGCCAUUGCGCCGGAACCGAGUGUCGCGGCAAUGCUGGCACCCUCGCAUCUCAGAGAAAAAUGCAGACAAGAAGCCGCUGAAAUGGUGGCCAAAAAUAAUAUGCUCAAUGAUAAGGAACCAAAUAAUAUGAGUCAACUUGUUACUGAUUUAACAGCAUUGAUACUUCAGGUUAAGUGUCUAUCGGAUUCUGAUAAAAACGCCUAUGAAUUGCAAGUACUUCAAGGCACAAUGGAGCAAGUGAAAACAAAAUUAAGUCCCCAAAAUCAGCAAGUAUUUCAAAAUUGUGUUGAAGUUCAUAUGCAACACAUACAACUUGGCUUAGGUCAAUUGGGCGCAUUGACGCCAUUCAUCUCGCAAAAAAUUUAGCACUGAAAAUUCAAGUUUUUCAUUCAUUACUUUUCAUCUCUGAGUACAAGAUUCUGAUCUAUUAAAAGUAAUCAAUCGAUUUUUUUUUCUUUUCACAAUAUUAUGCUUUUUGAGAAAAGUAUCGAGACAUGUAAAUGUUUGAUUCUAGAGAAGAGAUUCAUUUUUUUUCGUAUUUAAUACAAAAUAUCUGUGUAAAGAGAAUAUUUCUCGUCUGAUACAAUUCUAUUAUAAUAGAAAUUUAAGUUUAAAAAUA